UGGGGGUCCAGCUUUGUGUUUGACCUCAGGGCAGCGUGUUGCCGGGUUAGAAGGCAUGUUCCUAAACGCAACUUCUGGGCGUUGGGGUGAAAGGUCAGAGGUGGCAGGGGGGUCAAAGGUCCUGACGGUGACCCCUGGAUGAGGGUCAGAUGGGGGCAGGGCCUGGCUCAGUUUGAUCCCUGAACUCAGCUUCUGAGCUGUGAUGUCACAGAUCACCUCCUUCUGUCUGACCUCUGUGGCGUGCCGUGGCGGGAGGUCAAUGUUCGUCUCCCUGGUGACCCCGUGUGUGACCUCACCACAUACCGUCGUACCGUCUGGUACGCCCCUUUUAGAGACACCCGCUGAUGUAAAACUGUCCUCUACAUCAUCGUCCUCCAUCCCUCGACCCAUCUCAGCUUGGAAGAGUGUCCUGUUAAACUCAGCAGUGGCCUGUUCCAGCAUCAUAUUCCUACUGUGGCCUGGAGGGUUGGAGCCUGGAGGGUUGGAGUCUGGAGGGUUGGAGCCUGGAGGGUUGGAGCCUGGAGGGUUGGAGCCUGGAGGGUUGGAGUCUGGAGGGUUGGAGCCUGGAGGGUUGGAGUCUGGAGGGUUGGAGCCUGGAGGGUUGGAGCCUGGAGGGUUGGAGCCUGGAGGGUUGGAGCCUGGAGGGGGUAACUCUAAGGUAAGGUCAAGACAGAUGUGUGAAACUGCUAGGUCUUUGUUUCCAGGUUGUAUAUGACUCUCUCUCUCAGGGCUUCUAGGACUUCUAGGUUUCUCAACGGGCCUGUAGUCGUGGAUCAAGUCCUUCUCAGCAGCACUCACUAUGUUGACUUCAGACAGGCUCUUCUGGACAGGCACGUAGGUGGACGACUUGCUGCUGCCGAAGCGGCUCCCGUCACAGGACCAGCGGUUGUGGCAACAGCCCACGUUGCAGUGGGAGUUAAAGGGAACAGCGCAGGUGGUAAACCCCGCCUCCGUCAGAACUUUCCCCUCGUUCUCCUGCAGCAUCGCCUCGAACUUCCUCACUAUCGAUGGGCUGCUGCUGCACUUCCUGUCUAACAGGAGACAGGGGCUGUGGCACUUCCUGCCUGAGCCACUGAGGGAUUCUGGGAUGUGUAGUUGUAGUUCAGGGGAGGGGCUGGCGAGGUACCAUGAUGUUGUCCGAGGAGGGAUAGGAGGAGGAACCAGCAGAGGGGGAGCGGAGGUGCUUCUCUCUCCCUCUCAGAGGGCUUGGAUGUGGGGUCCUUGAGGUGACUGGGGCCCCUGGUGGGCUCCUUGAGGUGACUGGGGCCCCUGUCGGGGUCCUUGAGGUGACUGGGGCCCCUGUCGGGGUCCUUGAGGUGACUGGGGCCCCUGGCAGGGUCCUUCCUGAUGGACAGCCAGUUCUCCUCUUCCAGGGCCCUGAGGUCAGCUACCAGCUGCGUCAGGUUGAAGGCAGGGUCCUCCAUUCUCUCUCUGGUCGUAACAUGAUCCACCUCGGGAAAUACGAGGACUCGGUUCGACCCCU
ensembl:lncRNA